rnacentral:rRNA from 1 species
ACGGGAGGCAGCAGUGGGGAAUAUUGCACAAUGGGGGAAACCCUGAUGCAGCAACGCCGCGUGAAGGAUGAAGGCCCUUGGGUCGUAAACUUCUGUUCUAAGGGAAGAUAAUGACGGUACCUUAGGAGCAAGUCCCGGCUAACUACGUGCCAGCCACCGCGGUAAUACGUAGGGGGCAAGCGUGAUCCGGAAUUAUUGGGCGUAAAGAGUGCGUAGGUGGUUUCCUAAGCAUGGUGUUUAAGGCAAUGGCUUAACCAUUGUUUGCACCAUGACUUGGGUUACUUGAGUGCUGGAGAGGAAAGCGGAAUUCCUAGUGUAGCGGUGAAAUGCGUAGAUAUUAGGAGGAACACCAGUGGCGAAAGCGGCUUUCUGGACAGUUACUGACACUGAGGCACGAAAGUGUGGGGAGCAAACAGGAUUAGAUACCCUGGUA